UUAGAUUCCUGUCGACUGCUUUUAUUUCCUUGAUGUUAUUGCUAUUGCUAUUGCUUAAGUUGAUUGCUAACCAUUUUUGUUUUAUUUUCAGGGAACGGAUCAAUCAGCGGACCCAAGCCUGGUUACUGAAAUUAUUGAAGUGGAAAGAGUCCGACAGGCCAGUCUCUCUUGGGGUUUGGCAGAAGAGUCGCAGCGAUAUCCAACAAGAGUGAACUAACUGUAAUUAUCAAGCUAAAGGGAAAUCAACGAGCUGAAUUGAAUUUAAUGAUAUUCGCUCGAAGUUAUAUCCUGCUGCUUGCUUGUUCGAUCAAAGAUGUUCGAUGGAAUGUUGCCGUACGGUGCGAAACAAGUGAUCAUGCUCAUGGAUAUAAAUCAUUUAAGUGCUGGUGAAAUUGUUCUAAAACUGAAAAAGUAAAACAAUCUUCCGUUCUCCUCGGACAUCAGUGUUAGUCGCAGAAUUGAAAAUUGAACCUACAAUCCACUUACUUCUGUCUUGGAAACCGAGCCGCAGACAUUUGAAACUUUGAUCAAGCUGUAACGCGUCUACCUGUGCUGGAAUCGAUGUAGAGUGGUUGAAGAAAUCAAUAUUUUGCACUGCAUCAAAUUUUCGCAGUUUGCCAUACAGCAUCUGCCUGAAACAACUCUACUUGCUGCCCCAAAAUGUGCCUGGUGAUCACGAAGCAAAAGAAUGUGAAUCUACUUUCGUAAAGUGUGUUAAUUGUGAACUGGUGAACAAACUGCGUAACCAUGCAAAGGACAAAGAACUCAGCAUCGACCACUCAGCUUGAAGUGAUUUCUGCCCAAUUUUUCAGAAGCGCCUGCAUAAUGCCAGACAAAUGGUUAGUUACUCAAUCAACUGAUAUAUUCCUGGAUCGACUCUGGGAUGCAACGAUGUUGAUUCUAUGGAGGCAACCGAUCCUCCCACCACAAUCCUGACACUGUAGCCGUUGUUCAACAGUCGUCCUGGCUCUGUAUGUGGGAUUGGAGAAGGGGCCUUCCAACCUGAAACUGCAGUUCCAGCGCUACGCCGAUCCAUCAACUAUCUUCUAUUCCCCUGAUAUUCCUGCCCGUCAUGGAUCAACAGUCGUCCUUCGGUGUAGGGAUCGUCCAAUCCGCUACCCAUGGCCACCAACUACCAUCAGAUGAAGAUUUCGGAGCAUACCUACCACUCGGAUGCUCUUCCUGCUUUGUCAGGGAACGGAUCAAUCAGCGGACCCAAGCCUGGUUACUGAAAUUAUUGAAGUGGAAAGAGUCCGACAGGCCAGUCUCUCUUGGGGUUUGGCAGAAGAGUCGCAGCGAUAUCCAACAAGAGUGAACUAACUGUAAUUAUCAAGCUAAAGGGAAAUCAACGAGCUGAAUUGAAUUUAAUGAUAUUCGCUCGAAGUUAUAUCCUGCUGCUUGCUUGUUCGAUCAAAGAUGUUCGAUGGAAUGUUGCCGUACGGUGCGAAACAAGUGAUCAUGCUCAUGGAUAUAAAUCAUUUAAGUGCUGGUGAAAUUGUUCUAAAACUGAAAAAGUAAAACAAUCUUCCGUUCUCCUCGGACAUCAGUGUUAGUCGCAGAAUUGAAAAUUGAACCUACAAUCCACUUACUUCUGUCUUGGAAACCGAGCCGCAGACAUUUGAAACUUUGAUCAAGCUGUAACGCGUCUA